rnacentral:rRNA from 1 species
UACGGAGGGUGCAAGCAUUGAUCGGAUUUAUUGGGCGUAAAGGGCGCGUAGGCCGUUAAAUAAGUCAGAUGUGAAAUUCCGGGGCUCAACUCCGGAGCUGCAUUUGAAACUAUUUGACUAGAGUACAGUUAGGGAAAACGGAAUUCCACGUGUAGCGGUGAAAUGCGUAGAUAUGUGGAAGAACACCGGUGGUGAAGACGAUUUUCUGGACUGAAACUGACGCUGAGGCGCGAAAGCGUGGGGAGCAAACGGG